AGAUUAAGCCAUGCAUGCGUAAGUGCAUACUUUAUAUGGUUAAAACCGCGAAUGGCUCAUUACAUAAGUCUUGGUUUAAUAGAUCAUACGGUGCAUAUGGAUAACUGUGGAAAAUCUAGAGCUAAUACAUGCCACGAAUGCUUCGACUAGCGAAGAAGGGCUUUUAUUAGAUCAAAGCCAACGGUCCCCUUAAGGAGAUCAAACGUUGUGCUGAUUCUGAGUAAAUGUAAGCUGAUUGCAUUGCCCAAAGGGCAGGCGACGUGUCUUUCAAGCGUCUGCCCUAUCAACUAUCGUUGGUAGUUGACAUGACUACCAUGGKCGUAACGGGUAACGGGGAAUCAGGGUUCGAUUCCGGAGAGAGAGCAUGAGAAACGGCUGUCACAUCCAAGGAAGGCAGCAGGCGCGCAAAUUACCCAAUCCUAGCUCGGGGAGGUAGUGACGAAAAAUAACGAUGCCGCAAUCUUCGGAUUCGGCAAUUGGAAUGAGAACAAUCKAAAUCCUUUAUCGAGGAUCAAUUGGAGGGCAAGUUCUGGUGCCAGCAGCCGCGGUAAUUCCAGCUCGAAUAGCGUAUGUUAAAUUUGCUGCGGUUAAAAAGCUCGUAGUUGGGUAUCAGGAGAUGAACUCUGCGCUGUCUAAUUUGUACAGCAUUGCGCGAGCUUCGCUCCUUUUGUUAUACCAUUCCUACGUCCGUCAGGACGUCUGGAGGGUAGACGGACUACUUUGAGAAAAUUAGCGUGCUCAAUGCAGGCGAUUGCUUGUAUACUGUUGCAUGGAAUAAUGAGAAAGGACCUCGGGUCUGAUUCGUUGGUUUCCGGAAGCUGAGGUAAUGAUUGAUAGGACAA
rnacentral:rRNA from 1 species